rnacentral:rRNA from 1 species
UACGUAGGUGACAAGCGUUGUCCGGAUUUACUGGGCGUAAAGAGCGCGCAGGCGGUCGUUCAAGUCGAGUGUGAAAGCCCCCGGCUCAACUGGGGAGGGUCACUCGAUACUGAUCGACUCGAAGGCAGGAGAGGGUAGUGGAAUUCCCUGUGUAGUGGUGAAAUGCGUAGAUAUCGGGAGGAACACCAGUGGCGAAGGCGACUACCUGGCCUGUUCUUGACGCUGAGGCGCGAAAGCUAGGGGAGCAAACGGG